rnacentral:rRNA from 1 species
UCCGUAGGGUGCGAGCGUUGUCCGGAAUUAUUGGGCGUAAAGAGCUCGUAGGCGGUUUGUCGCGUCGGCCGUGAAAUCUCCACGCUUAACGUGGAGCGUGCGGUCGAUACGGGCAGACUUGAGUUCGGUAGGGGAGACUGGAAUUCCUGGUGUAGCGGUGAAAUGCGCAGAUAUCAGGAGGAACACCGGUGGCGAAGGCGGGUCUCUGGGCCGAUACUGACGCUGAGGAGCGAAAGCGUGGGGAGCGAACAGG